rnacentral:rRNA from 1 species
ACCCGCUGAAUUUAAGCAUAUAAGUGAGCGGAGGACGAUAGACUGAAUACAUGUCCCGCAGUAAUGGCGAAUGAACCGGAACAGGCACAUUGUGAAAUACAGGGCUUUUGGUUCUGGCUUGCAGAUGCAAGAUGUACUAGCAGCAGGAUGUAGGUGCGAGCCUCUUGGGAAGGAGCAUUGACAUGGGUGAAAACCCCAUGUACCACUUGCAAUUUCCCCAGUGUAUGGUAUACAUUCUCAGAGUCACGCUCUUCGGGCCUGGAGCGCGAAGAUGGUGGUAGGUUUCAUCUAAAGCUUCGCAAUAGCCGGAUGCCGAUAGCGAACAAGUACCAUGUGGGGAAGGUGAAUAAGGACUUUGGGAAGAAAGUUAGAUGUGCUUGAAUUUGCUGGGAGGCAAGCGGGCGUACUUAGUGUGGCUAGGUGAGAGUGUUGUGUGUCAGAGCAGAUGCGCGUCACGUGGUACAAAUGCAGUGGCAUGCCCGAAGCAGGGCGCGUGCAAUGUUCCCUUUUCUUCGCCUGCCAUUAUGUGUACACAUGUAGUGGCAUGGGCGCGGCGCAGUCGUCUGGCUCAGGGAAGCCAGGCGCGUGCCCUUGUAACAACUUGUAUAUACCAUGAUGACAACACUGUUUCACCCGGCCCGCCUUGAAACACGGACCAAGGAGUCUAGCACACGUGCAAGUUCAUGGGUGCCGAAACCUAGGUGCACAAUGAAAGUGAUCGCUUGGAGUUUUACACCAGCAGCCGACCAAGCAAUUGAGCGAGGUUUGGGCUUUGAGCAUGUUUGUUAGGCCCCGAAAGAUGGUGAACUAUGCCUGUGCAGGGCAAACCCAGAGGAAACUCUGAUGGAGGCUCGCAGCGAUACUGACGUGCAAAUCGUUCGUCGCACAUGGGUAUAGGGGCGAAAGACUAAUCGAGCCAUCUAGUAGCUGGUUCCCUCCGAAGUUUCCCUCAGGAUAGCUGGAGCUGAGCAGUUUCACCAAGUAAAGCGAAUGGUUGGAGGAUGCAGGGGCGUGCUGUCCUUAACCUACUCUCAAACUUUAAAUGGGUAAGCGCCUGUGGCUACUUGGGUGAGCUUCUGGGAUAUAUGGCGGCUCUAAGUGGGCCAUUUUUUGGUAAGCAGAACUGGUGAUGAGGGAUGAACCUAACGUUUGGCUAAGGCGCUUAAUUGUUCGCUCAUGAGAUACCAUAAAGGGCGUUGGCUCAUUUUAACAGCAGGACAGUGGUCAUGGAAGUCGAAAUCUGCCAAGGAGUGUGUAACAACUCACCUGCCGAAUGGACUAGCCCCGGAAAUGGAUGGCGCUCAAGCGGGCGGCUGAUACCCAGCCUUUUUUGCAAUAGCGCUGCACCAAUGAGUAGGAGGGUGUGGAGAUGCGUUGAGAAGCUGUCGGCGGAAGCCUGUGUGAAAUCGCCUCUGGUGCAGAUCUUGGUGGUAGUAGC